CUUCAAGGAUAAAGGCGACAGCAACAGCUCGGCCGGCUGGAAGGGCACCCUCCUUAAAGAGCUGGAAUAAUGGCCUGGGGCCAGUGUCUGCUUUCUCCCCAGAUCUCUCCCACUGCCCUCCCUGGAGCUGGCCCCAGGAUGCUCAUCAAGGUGGCUCCUGACUCCUGGACUGAGCCCUUGGGCCACCCGUCAGAAACUAGGCUGGGGAGACUAAAUACAGGCCCACCUCCCAGGUAUGAACACAGCUGGAGGGGCUAGCGCCAGCAGCCAGGGCUGAUGCCCCCUGCCACUGGGAGCCUGUGGCUGCAGGAGGACGCGUGCUGGUGUAAAUACUCAGCGAGCCUCUGGAACUGGACCAGGAAGGGCCUGCAAGUCACAGCCCCUGUUCUCUGAUGUGCACAGUUUGGUGUGUACAGUGUGUGUACAGUGUGGUGCUGUCCCGACAGGGCCCCCUCCAGGGACCUUAGCAUGACACUCAAGCGCUUGGCUCCCUGGUCCCAGCGGAUCACUCCACUCCUUGCUCUUCUGACCCUCGAAUUAGCCACCCUGAACGGUUCUAGCUCAGGAUUCAGCCGCCACGUGCCGUUACACACAUGCUUUCAUCGAACUCUCGCGGCACCCUGUGAGGCUGCUACUGUGAUUCCUCUGUUUUAGGAAGAAAUAAGGCUGGAGAAAGUGGCUUUCGUUGUAUCCUGCUGCCCAAGGCUGAUGACAACUUCCCCCAUGCACUUCCAUCCAGGCUUACACCUGUUAACCCCCCACUGCGGUGCUGCUCAGAGGAACCAGUCUGGCUCCCUGACCUCUCGAGUGACCCACAGGUCAAGCGGGGGAGAUAAGAUGAGGCCUCGUGAAUUUGAUUCGGGAUAAAGAUUGCUCAGGGUCACGAGGGGAGGCCAAAUAAUGAGCUCUGGGUGGCGGCUCUUCAGGAUGUCCAAGCUUCCACCUGCCUCUAGCUUGGCCCACUGUUUUCUGGCCUCCAGAGCCUUCCUCGUGGCCUUGGGAGGCCAGCAGGCAGGUUUAAGACUCACUAUUUUCACAGAUGAAGGCAGUGGUUUGCUCAAGGUCACCCUUGAACCCAGGGCCACCUGCUCCUGGACGCGGGCGUCUCUUUGCCCACGAGGAGGCUGUGUGACCUUGGACAUGGCCCUUCCCUCUCUGGCUCUGAGUCCCAUCUAGAGAUCCCCUCCCCCAACACUCUGGGAAGCAGUGUUGCCUCCUCCACCCCGUCUGUCCCCUCCCCCUGUCCUCUGCUGGCCUUGCCGGCUCUGUAACCUGAGCUGGGGCUGUGGGGGAAGGGGGCUUGCCCUCUGCCAGAGGCACCUGCCAGCUGAGCAGAUGUGAGGGGAUGGAGGCCCCCUCCCCCCAGGGGAUCUCAGGCUCUUAGCGCAGCUAGGCUGGGGCUUGGGCAUGCAGGGCUCCGCACACCCAGCCCUGGCCUCUGGCCUCUACACCCAGAGCUUACCCUGAGCACUUGUUCAUUUUUCAGCGGACGUUCAUGCUCCAACAUGUCCUGCAAGGACCUCUCAGUAUCCAGAAGACAGAUGGCAGAUGAGGGCUGGUGCCCCGGUCUGGGUGGGCUGCCUUGGGCUCCUGGAGCCCCUUGGCAUGGGGAUAGAGGGCCAAGGGCAGCCCCUGGGGGUGAGGCCAGUGUCUGUGCUGGUGGCCAUGCCCCCGGGAGAGCAGAUGGUUCUCUUGGCGCUGUGCCCACUCUUCCUCUUUCCCCCAGGAGCCAGCCUACAGGGCUGGGGCACAGCUGCUGGGCCCUCCCCAGAGCUGGGCCCAGGGCAGGGCUGGGUGAGGUCACCGCAGCUGCUCCCAGGGCCUGGGGCAGGGGUGUUAGGGAGGUGCUGCAUGCGGAGGGAAGGACAGGGUUCACACUGAGGAGAGAUAGGGAGAGGCCGGAAUGGCUUUGCAUUUAGGGAUCCCCUUUAAUCUUGGAUGAGGGAGGAAAGAAUCUUUGGAGGACUCAAUGAGCCAGGGUGGACAGCCUCACCCCCCUCCCACCCCCUAGAGCUGCUGUCAGGCCUGGCUCCUCCUCAGAGGCAUCUCCGGGUGGGAGGCAGAGGAAAGGCCUUGGGUGUGACUCCCUUUCCCCACCACUAACUUACAUCAUGCAGCCUGGGGCAGCUCCAUCUGUCUCCUGGAGCCUCAGUUUCCCAGCAGUGAAAUAGGCACACUAAGCCAACUCAGAGAAUUGUUAAAAAGACGGUAAGGUUUGAAGUGUCGUCGUGCCAGCGCAGCGCAUAGCACGUAGGGAGUGUUCAGUAAAUGGUAGUUGGUACUUUUCCUUCCUUUACUGAAUUCUCCCCGGGAGCCUGGAAGUGCUGAGGAGCAGCAGGGAGGUGGCCGAGGCAGCAGGAUUGGGAGCCCGAGGCAGGAGGCGAGGCCGGGAGCUCUGGCCUGAGGUUUUGGGGACCAGGAACCGCACGGGGCCCACGUGGCUCAGGGCUGCCCGGAGCCCCAGCCUGUGCUCCAAGGGCUGCCCCGCCGAGUUCAAGUGCGGAGGCCCACUCGUACCCAGUGUCAUACCCGGUGUCGCACCCCGUGUCGCUCUGGGUCGUGGAUAUGUUUCUGCAGCAGCGCUGAGGUGGGAGCCACCACCUUUGGGACUUGGAGAGGGAAGUAGAGAGACAUCACAGAGUUUGCCUCGGUGGAGCAGCAGGAACUGGUCAAGCCGAGAAGUGGGGGGCAGCGGGAGCAGAGUGCGGAAGGCAGGCAGUGUAAGACCCCCCCGGGUGGCUGGAGCCCGGGGAGGGGGCUGAAGGGCAUGGGGCUGAUGAGGCCGUAGAGCCUCAGGGCUCCUCUGUGUCAGUCUGGAGUUGGACCUGAGCCCCCAGGAGACGAGGAGCCAUGGGGUUUGAGUAGAGGUGAGCUUCGACUUCUGCUGCUGCUUUGCCUGUACCCAGCCGAGGUGUGCGGGCUCUGCUCUCUCUGGGGUGGCGGUGUGGGAUGUCAGGGCCUGUCCUUGACCUCAUGCCUUGCUUUGGACAUUUGGUUCCUCUUGGCCCCUGGCUGCCUGCUUCUGUUCCACUGCUGACCCCAAGCCCAGUCACCUAUGGACACCUGUUGCCUGAUGCCCCCGCCUGCCCUUCUGCUCCUCCUCCACUAAUCCCUGGUGCCAAGGAUUUGCACAUGGCCUCAGGCCUCUCCAGGUCACCCCCUUCUGCCAGGAAGCCUGCCUGGACUGAGCAUCCCAGCUUUAGCCCAGGUGGCAGAGCAAGGGACCCUCAGAGAGACCGUGGCUCUGAGACAGGCGUGUCUGUCUGGCCAGCCUGGGACUCCAGAGUGGGGUGUGGGGUACGGGGUGGGACAGGGGCUGCUCCCGGGGCUCUGAGUCAGGGAGAGGAUGAGAUUCAUGACAUGCAGGAUCCCAUCUGGGUCCCAGCCCUCCCCAUGAAUAUUGUUACCCUCUUUUACAGGGGAGGCCCAAGGUCACAUGAAUGAAGUUGGGAUUCCAGCCCAGCUCUCAACCUUUCUUCAUGCAGGGAGAGAGGAACAGAGGGAGGGAGAGGGCAAACAGGAGCCAUGGAGGAGAUCAGAGAACUCACAUAGGCCCAGAGGUGGUCUCUGCCCAGGGAUCAUCACCACCCUUGGGUAGGCAAGGUCAGCUUCCUAGGGGAGGGGCUGAGCCAAACCUCAGAUAAUGAUGGAACCUGGAGAGGUUCCCAUACCCAGCUCUGGGCUUGGAUGCGUGCAAGUCCUAGGACUGAACUGUAAGGUCCUGGGAUUCCCCGGAUGUCAGGAAGGCCAGGAGGUAGCAUAGGACUCGUGGUGGGUGGGGGACACAAGACUUGGGUCUCCUGUCUCUGCUGAAAGCCAGGAAGCUUGGGCUUGAGAACCAAGGCAAGGAUGGCCGCUGAGGUGGGCGGGAUCGGGUCCCCUGCCACCCAGGUGGAGCGGGUGGGGAGCGCCCUGGCUUUGGAACCCGACAGCUUGGAGACCCCGACCUGCCUCCAGGACUUCCCAGCUUCAUCACCUUGGUAGUCCUUCUACCCUCCCAAGCCCACUUCCCCACUUUGUCAAAUAGCAGCGCUGCUUUGCAGGGUGGUUAUCGGGACUGAAAGAAGAAAUGUGUCUGAAGGACCCAGCCGGCGGGGCCUGGCGUGUGGUAGGUGGUGCCCUUCUGCUGCCUUGGUAUUUGAAGCCCGUGCCCGCGGUGUGCUAGAGCUGGCGGCCUUGGCUCGGAAGAGCUGGUCCUGCACACUUCUUCCCAGUUCUGUACUCGGUGACGUCAUGCUGGCAGCUAAAAAUUGGCUGCGAUGGGAGUAUCCAUGCCGCAGAAAUCAGCAAAAGCUACAGAUCAAAUCAGGUGGGAUCUUUUCCCUCCUGGAGAGCUGGAGGAAAUCAGUCCUGUGGGCCCUUCUGAGCCUUAGAGGGGACAGAAUGGGAAGUGGAGUAAUGGUCGGGCACUGGCUGUGCUGAACAACCUAGGACUCGGGGUCCCUGGGCCCUUGCGGGACUAGAACUCGGGGUCCCUGGGCCCUUGCGGGGCGGGCGGAGAUCAGAUACAGCCUUAGCGCCAGGCAGCCCUCUGUAGGCAGGGGGAAGGAGCGGUGAGACCACUCUUCUCUCUAGGUCUUCCCUCCCCCCCCCCACCCCCCUGCAC